rnacentral:rRNA from 1 species
GACGAACGCUGGCGGCGUGCUUAACACAUGCAAGUCGAGCGGUAAGGCCCUUUCGGGGGUACGACGAGCGGCGAACGGGUGAGUAACACGUGGGUGACCUGCCCUCAGCUCUGGGGAUAAGCCUGGGAAACUGGGUCUAAUACUGGAUAUGACUCCACGGUGCAUGUCGUGGGGUGGAAAGCCUUGUGCGGCUGAGGAUGGGCCCGCGGCCUAUCAGCUUGUUGGUGGGGGAUGGCCUACCAAGGCGACGACGGGUAGCCGGCCUGAGAGGGCGACCGGCCACACUGGGACUGAGACACGGCCCAGACUCCUACGGGAGGCAGCAGUGGGGAAUCUUGCGCAAUUGGGCGAAAGCCUGACGCAGCGACGCCGCGUGAGGGAU